GUCCGCGGUCGCCGCGGAGGCGGACGACGCGGGCCCGGGUUCCGCGAGCGCGUCCGCGGCGGACGUCCCGGGGUCGAUCACGUCGACCCGCAGACCC
rnacentral:tRNA from 1 species